GACAGAGACAGAGACAGAGACAGAGACAGAGACAGAGACAGACGGGCAGCGACUGUGGAGACAAGAGAAGCAGCAGCAACAACAACAACAACAACUGGGCGGCGUUUCAUGGCCAAACCCUGAUGCUCACUCAAGGUCACAUCAAAGAUCAUACAGCAGAGCAAGAUGGUCAACUCUCACGCAAGUUUGAUGAGAGGAUUACAUGGAUGGUUCAUAUUCAGAAAGUAGUGGACAAAUGUAGCUACAUCACUACUAUCGGAGUGGAUUUCAAGAGUCAGACGGUCGAUGUUAAUGGGGAGAAGAUGAAGCUGCAGAUCUGUACAAUCACGUCUACGGUUUAGGAGCCGUUGCUUUGGACGGAGAGACGGGGGCGUGAGCGGACAUUGAGGACGGCCAGGGUGUGCGGG